UACGGAGGGGGCGAGCGUUAUUCGGAAUUAUUGGGCGUAAAGGGCGCGUAGGCGGCUGUACAAGUCAAAGGUGAAAUCCCUCGGCUCAACUGAGGAACUGCCUUUGAUACUGAGAAGCUUGAGUCCGGGAGAGGUGAGUGGAACUGCGAGUGUAGAGGUGAAAUUCGUAGAUAUUCGCAAGAACACCAGUGGCGAAGGCGGCUCACUGGCCCGGUACUGACGCUGAGGUGCGAAAGCGUGGGGAGCAAACAGG
rnacentral:rRNA from 1 species